rnacentral:rRNA from 1 species
AGGACGAACGCUGGCGGCGUGCUUAACACAUGCAAGUCGAGCGAGGCUCCUCCUUCGGGAGGAAGCCCUAGCGGCGAACGGGUGAGUAACACGUGGGCAACCUGCCCCUAGCACUGGGAUAACCCCGGGAAACCGGGGCUAAUACCGGAUACGACUUCGGAAGGCAUCUUCUGAAGUGGAAAAGGUUACUGGCUAGGGAUGGGCCCGCGGCCUAUCAGCUUGUUGGUGGGGUAAUGGCCCACCAAGGCGACGACGGGUAGCCGGCCUGAGAGGGCGACCGGCCACACUGGGACUGAGACACGGCCCAGACUCCUACGGGAGGCAGCAGUGGGGAAUAUUGCACAAUGGGCGAAAGCCUGAUGCAGCGACGCCGCGUGAGGGAUGACGGCCUUGGGUUGUAAACCUCUUUCAGCAGGGACGAAGCGAAAGUGACGGUACCUGCAGAAGAAGCACCGGCCAACUACGUGCCAGCAGCCGC